CAGCAGACACAUUCCAGCCAAUCAGCAGCAGACCCUCCCUCCCAGACUUUCCCACCUCCUGGACAGCAUCCAUUUUUCAUUCAUUGUGAAGCUGCAUUCUUAGAGAGCUGUCCAGGAGGUAGGAGGGUCUGGGAGGGAGGGUCUGCUGCUGAUUGGCUGGAAUGUGUCUGCUG
rnacentral:miRNA from 1 species